rnacentral:rRNA from 1 species
GCGGGWAUUCGAUUAUCGUAUUACCGCGGCUGCUGGCACGUAGUUAGCCGUGGCUUUCUGGUUGGAUACCGUCACGCCGGCAACAGUUACUCUGCCGACCAUUCUUCUCCGACAACAGAGUUUUACGACCCGAAAGCCUUCUUCACUCACGCGGCGUUGCUCCAUCAGACUUGCGUCCAUUGUGGAAGAUUCCCUACUGCUGCCUCCCGUAGGAGUUUGGGCCGUGUCUCAGUCCCAAUGUGGCCGAUCAGUCUCUCAACUCGGCUAUGCAUCAUUGCCUUGGUAAGCCGUUACCUUACCAACUAGCUAAUGCACCGCAGGUCCAUCCAAGAGUGAUAGCAGAACCAUCUUUUAAACUCUAGACAUGCGUCCAGUGUUGUUAUCCGGUAUUAGCACCUGUUUCCAAUCACUAGUGAAUUCGCGGCCGCCUGCAGGUCGACCAUAUGGGAGAGCUCCCAACGCGU